rnacentral:rRNA from 1 species
UACGUAGGGUGCGAGCGUUAAUCGGAAUUACUGGGCGUAAAGCGUGCGCAGGCGGUUCGCUGUGUCCGAUGUGAAAGCCCCGGGCUCAACCUGGGAAUGGCAUUGGAAACUGGCGGGCUGGAGUGUGGCAGAGGGGGGUGGAAUUCCGCGUGUAGCAGUGAAAUGCGUAGAGAUGCGGAGGAACACCGAUGGCGAAGGCAGCCCCCUGGGCCAACACUGACGCUCAGGCACGAAAGCGUGGGGAGCAAACAGG